rnacentral:rRNA from 1 species
UCUUGUGCCAGCAGCCGCGGUAAUUCCAGCUCCAAUAGCGUAUAUUAAAGUUGUUGUGGUUAAAAAGCUCGUAGUUGAACCUUGGGCCUGGCUGGCCGGUCCGCCUCACCGCGUGCACUGGUCCGGCCGGGCCUUUCCCUCUGUGGAACCCCAUACCCUUCACUGGGCGUGGCGGGAAACAGGACAUUUACUUUGAAAAAAUUAGAGUGCUCCAGGCAGGCCUAUGCUCGAAUACAUUAGCAUGGAAUAAUAAAAUAGGACGCGCGGUUCUAUUUUGUUGGUUUAUAGGACCGCCGUAAUGAUUAAUAGGGACAGUCGGGGGCAUCAGUAUUCAACUGUCAGAGGUGAAAUUCUUGGAUCAGUUGAAGACUAACUACUGCGAAAGCAUUUGCCAAGGAUGUUUUCAUUAAUCAGGAACGAAAGUUAGGGGAUCGAAGACGAUCAGAUACCGUCGUAGUCUUAACCAUAAACUAUGCCGACUAGGGAUCGGACGGUGUUAUUCAUGACCCGUUCGGCACCUUACGAGAAAUCAAAGUGCUUGGGCUCCAGGGGGAGUAUGGUCGCAAGGCUGAAACUUAAAGAAAUUGACGGAAGGGCACCACCAGGGGUGGAGCCUGCGGCUUAAUUUGACUCAACACGGGGAAACUCACCAGGUCCAGACACAAUAAGGGAUUGACAGAUUGAGAGCUCUUUCUUGAUUUUGUGGGUGGUGGUGCAUGGGCGUUCUUAGUUGGUGGGGUGACUUGUCUGCUUAAUUGCGAUAACGAACGAGACCUUAACCUGCUAAAUAGCCCGCAUGCUCGGCAGUGCGCUGGCUUCUUAGAGGGACUUUCGGCUCAGCCGAGGAAGGUUGAGGCAUAACAGGUCUGUGAUGCCUAGAUGUUCUGGUCCGCACGCGCGCUACACGGACGGGGUCCAGCGGAGUUCCUUUGUGCCGAAAGGCCCGGGGUGAC